rnacentral:rRNA from 1 species
UACAGAGGUCUCAAGCGUUGUUCGGAUAUACUGGGCGUAAAGCGCACGUAGGCGGCGUCGUAAGUCAGGGGUGAAAUCCCGGAGCUCAACUCCGGAACUGCCCUUGAAACUGCAAUGCUAGAAUCUUGGAGAGGCGAGUGGAAUUCCGAGUGUAGAGGUGAAAUUCGUAGAUAUUCGGAAGAACACCAGUGGCGAAGGCGACUCGCUGGACAAGUAUUGACGCUGAGGUGCGAAAGCGUGGGGAGCAAACAGG